UACAGAGGUCUCAAGCGUUUGUUCGGAUUCAUUGGGCGUAAAGGGUGCGUAGGCGGCGCGGUAAGUCGGGUGUGAAAUCUCGGAGCUUAACUCCGAAACUGCAUUCGAUACUGCCGUGCUUGAGGACUGGAGAGGAGACUGGAAUUUACGGUGUAGCGGUGAAAUGCGUAGAUAUCGUAAGGAAGACCAGUGGCGAAGGCGGGGUCUCUGGACAGUUCCUGACGCUGAGGCACGAAGGCCAGGGGGAGCAAAACGGGG
rnacentral:rRNA from 1 species